rnacentral:misc_RNA from 1 species
AACCUUAUGGACCUGCGGGCGUAUACCUGCGGAAGGAUCAUUAUCGAGUGUAACCUACCCUGUAAAAAAGGGUGGUACCUCCCGUCCUUUGCAGGCCCCCCUUUUGAUGGGGGGCUUUUUAAGACUUUCUGCUUCGGCGGGGUUACUCCCGCCGGAACACCCUCAAAAAACUCUUGAUCAAAAACCGUUCAGUCCGAGAAUUUUUGAAAAUUAAAAAAAAAAACUUUCAACAAUGGAUCU